UUCCUCCACCCAACAUGUCCAAGCCCAUCUUGGUGCAAUUUGAUGAAAUUCAGCAGAAACCUGGAACGAGCCUGCGAACUGUCCUCGUCCUUGAUGUUUCCAGGAGUAUGAAGGAACAAAGGCGACUAGAAACACUGAAAGAUGCUCUUCACGGCUUCCUCCUGUGUUUGCUCGA
rnacentral:lncRNA from 1 species